UGUCCGACGAUAUUGCCAGCAGAGAUACAUUUUGCCACGUCGGAUAUUGACAGAUCGAGUUUCUGGUACAGUGUCACUUCCCAAGGUGGGACCAUUUCACCGUCGCUAUCUUUCCGCUCCACGUCGUUUUCUUGGUCACUACGUCGUUUUGCUGCGAGGACGACGUAUAACGCCGCCAUGAGUAAAACACACGCAACGCAAAGAAGAACAAUCAUCACCACGCGCGCUUCCCUCGCUCGGCGACCUGAUUUUCCACCACCUUGGCCUGUGCAAUUGUUGCCGGAGAAGCAAAGAGAAGGAUUCCCUGAGAGAACGUUCAAUGGAAGCUUCUCGAAGAACGGUGUGUUUGGAACGUGACCUGAGAAUUUGUUGAAUGAGAUAUUGAGAACAACGAGAUUUUCCAAUCCGGCAAGAUAAUCAAGGUUUCCGGUGAGAAUGUUGUGAGAUAAAUCAAGAACUCCGAGUUUUGUUAAGCUUGAAAACUCGUGAGGAAUCUUGCCGGAAAGUUGGUUUGUGCUCAGAUUUAAAGCUAUUUCCAGUGCCGGAAUGUCUCCUAUGGUGCUAGGAAUUUCACCGGAGAGUUGAUUGCUGCUGAGAUCAAGUAACUGUAACUUCUCACAUGAACCAAGCUUCAUCGGAAUUUUACCGGAGAUUCGAUUCUGCCGGAGAAUAAGUUUUGUUAGAGCAGCAAGGGAGCCGAGAGAAGGAUUCAAUGCACCUUCGAUCAUGUUAUCGGAGAAAUCAAGAAAUUGAAGUGAAACCAGCUCGCUCAAACUAUCCGGCAAGGCUCCGGCGAUGUAAUUUGAAUGCAAAUCCAAGAAAGUAAGAUUCCGGCAACCGGAGAUUUUCUCCGGGAUAAUCCCUUCAAUCCUAUUACUCCCUAGGUCAAGGAAAUUCAAAUUCUUGAGAUUACCAAUCUGAGAAGGAAUAAAACCAGUAAUGUUGUUAUUAUUCGCUCGGAAGCGAAUAAGAGAAGAACAAUUCCCAAUCUGAGAGGGAAUUUUACCAGAGAGAUUAUUAGAGAGAAGCAAAAGCUUGUUGAGAUUUUGAAGCUGAAAUAUACCUUUUGGUAUGGGACCAGUUAACAAAUUCUGUGACAGAUCAAUAGCUUCAAGGUUUUGACAAUUGGAAAGAGUUGAAGGUAUAUUACCUUGUAACUUAUUAUGCCACAAAAACAACAAUGUUAGAUUCCCAAGGUUUCCUAAUUCGGAAGGUAUUGUACCGGUUAUAAGGUUGUUAUCAAUCUCCACGUGUGUUAGUUGUUGACAGUUCCCCAAUUCUGCAGGAAUUUCACCAGAAAUUUGAUUCACACUUAAUUGGAGUUCUUGUAACAGAGUUAAAUUCCCAAAGGUUUUGGGAAUGCUUCCUGUUAUUGAAUUCAUCGAUGCGUCGAUGACUGAUAAUUGAUAACAGUUUCCAAUCUCUGAGGGAAUAGUGCCAACUAAAUUGUUUUGCCACAGUAGCAGGUUUUUGAGAUUUUUAAGGUUUCCUAAUUUGGUUGGAAUGGAACCUGUGAGUGAGUUUUCAUAAAGGUAAAUAUUUUGAAGAUUUGUGCAGUCACCAAUUUCAGGUGGAAUUUGACCAGAGAGGUGUGAAGAGUAAAUGGUUAAUGUUUCAAGCUUUUUUAGUAGUCCAAUAGUUGGUGGAAUGAAACCUGAGAUGCUUGUUUCUGCUAAGCCCAACAUGAUCAAAUUGGAACAGUGUCCAAUUUCCUGUGGUAUAGGUCCUUCUAGAUUCUUGUUUCCUCCAGCUCUUAUCACUUGAAGAUUCUUCAUGUUGCGGAUUGUGUUUGGAAUUUUGCCACUGAGCUGAUUGUCAUAUAGGGUCAGCUUUGUUAAUUUUGUGAGGUUACCAAUUGCAAUUGGUAUUGAUCCCACAAGCUCGUUUGAGUUCAGAUGAAGUUCCUCGAGCUUGGGCAAGUAGCAGAGUUCAAUUGGGAUUUCGCCGCUCAAAGCAUUGUCACUUAAGUCCAAGUAGCUGAGUUCAACAAGAUUGCCUAUUUCUUUAGGGAUCGAACCGGUGAGAUUCGUUCCCGUUAAGAUAAGACUAGUCAAGGAUACCAAUGAUGUGAAAUUUGUUGGGAGUUUUCCAAGCAAAUCCACAUACCUUAGAUCCAAUUGUACUACUUCAUUCUUCAUAUUGCAACUCACUCCAAACCAGCUACAUGGUGUGUCUUCAAUUGGGUCCCAAUUACUCAAAAUCUCCAAGGAACCAUUCAAGGUUAUCUUCCAUGAAAGAAGAGCUUCCCCUUGUGUGUUCACAGCAAUAGAGAGGAAAAAAUGGUAUGGAAGUAAAAGGAAAAUGGAUAAGAAGAAGAGGGUCCAUGGAUUUUUAGGCAUUACAACUAUGCUGCUACAAACUCCAAUGAAAGAACACACAAGUAGAAAAAAAAGGUUUGAUUGAUUUUUGAGCCUAGGGAGGAACAACAAGAAGGAACCAAAUCAUGUCUUGUGGGUUACUGCACAAUAAAGAGUUAUGUGAAAUUAAAAAAUAGACAGAAUCUCUGGAUCCAAGAAACAGCUAGGCCAUGAUGUUUUUAAAGGGGUGUGAAAUGGAAUUUUAGAUGGUUGUUUAUAAGUAUUUGUUUAUGUUUCAAGUGGAGUGUUAUGGUGGGGAGAAAGAUUAUAACAGUUUUUAAAAUUUUGAGAGUGAGCAACAGAGACGGGUGGGUGAGUGCAUUUCUUUCUAAA
rnacentral:lncRNA from 1 species